rnacentral:rRNA from 1 species
UGGUCAAGUUAUUAAGGGUGCAGGGCGGAUGCCUUGGCACUAGGAGCCGAUGAAGGACGUGAUAAGCUGCGAUAAGCUUCGGGGAGUUGCACGUAAACUUUGAUCCGAAGAUUUCCGAAUGAGGAAACUCACUUAGAGUAAUGUCUAAGUAUCAUUAAGUGAAUACAUAGCUUAAUGAGGGGAACUCAGGGAACUGAAACAUCUAAGUACCUGAAGGAAGAGAAAGAAAUUCGAUUCCGUAAGUAGCGGCGAGCGAACGCGGAUUAGCCCAAACCAAUAAAGUUUUCUUUAUUGGGGUUGCGGACAUAUCAUAACGAAGAGGUAUCGUAAUUGAAGAGGUUUGGAAAGACCCACCACAGAAGGUAAUAGUCCUGUAUGUUAAACGAGAAGACUUUAGAUAUGAUCCAGAGUACCACGGGACACGUGAAACCCUGUGGGAAGCAGGAGGGACCACCCUCCAAGGCUAAAUACUACCUAGUGACCGAUAGCGUAUAGUACCGUGAGGGAAAGGUGAAAAGAACCCCGGGAGGGGAGUGAAAUAGAACCUGAAACCCUGCACUUACAAGCUGUGGAAGCACAUUUCUUGUGUGACCGCGUACUUUUUGUAGAACGGGCCAACGAGUUACGUUAAGUAGCAAGGUUAAGCACUUAAGGUGCGGAGCCGUAGCGAAAGCGAGUUUUAACUGAGCGUUCAGUUACUUGACGUAGACCCGAAACCGGGCGACCUACCCAUGAGCAGGAUGAAGCGAAAGUAAAAUUUCGUGGAGGUCCGAACCCACGAGCGUUGAAAAGCUCGGGGAUGACUUGUGGGUAGCGGUGAAAUUCCAAUCGAGCCCGGAGAUAGCUGGUUCUCCCCGAAAUAGCUUUAGGGCUAGCCUCAAGGUGAGAGAUACGGAGGUAGAGCACUGAAUGUCCUAGGGGGUAUUGCACCUACCGAAGACUAUCAAACUCCGAAUGCCGUCAUCUUAUACUUGGGAGUCAGACUGUGGGUGAUAAGAUUCAUAGUCGAAAGGGCAACAGCCCAGAUCGUCAGCUAAGGUCCCUAAAUGUAAGUUAAGUGGUAAAGGAUGUGGGAUUGCACAGACAACCAGGAUGUUGGCUUAGAAGCAGCCACUCAUUCAAAGAGUGCGUAAUAGCUCACUGGUCGAGUGAUCCUGCGCCGAAGAUUUCCGGGGCUAAAACUUACUACCGAAGCUACGGCAUCAGUAAUGAUGGGUAGGGGGGCUUCCCAUACGGGUUGAAGCAUGACCGUAAGGACAUGUGGACAGUAUGGGAGUGAGAAUGUUGGCAUGAGUAGCGAGAUGUGGGUGGGAAUCCCACAGGCCGUAAACCCAAGGUUUCCAGGGGAAGGUUCGUCC